AGAAACCAACAGGGAUUGCCUCAGUAACGGCGAGUGAAGCGGCAACAGCUCAAU
rnacentral:rRNA from 1 species